rnacentral:rRNA from 1 species
GAUGAACGCUGGCGGUAUGCUUAACACAUGCAAGUCGAACGGACUCUUCGGAGUUAGUGGCGGACGGGUGAGUAACGCGUGAGAAUCUGGCUUUGGGUUCGGGACAACCACUGGAAACGGUGGCUAAUACCGGAUGUGCCGAGAGGUAAAAGAGAAAUUGCCUGAAGAUGAGCUCGCGUCUGAUUAGCUAGUUGGUGAGGUAAAGGCUCACCAAGGCAGCGAUCAGUAGCUGGUCUGAGAGGAUGACCAGCCACACUGGGACUGAGACACGGCCCAGACUCCUCCGGGAGGCAGCAGUGGGGAAUUUUCCGAAAUGGGCGAGAGCCUGACGGAGCAAUACCGCGUGAGGGAAGAAGGCUCUUGGGUUGUAAACCUCUUUUCUUAGGGAAGAACAAAAUGACGGUACCUAAGGAAUCAGCAUCGGCUAACUCCGUG